CCUACGGGUGGCAGCAGUGAGGAAUAUUGGUCAAUGGGCGGGAGCCUGAACCAGCCAAGCCGCGUGAGGGAAGACGGUCCUACGUGUUGUAAACCUCUUUUGUCGGGGAACAAAGGCCGGGACUAGUCCCCGGCUGCGGGUACCUGAAGAAAAAGCAUCGGCUAACUCCGUGCCAGCAGCCGCGGUAAUACGGAGGAUGCGAGCGUUAUCCGGAUUUAUUGGGUUUAAAGGGUGCGUAGGCGGCCUGUUAAGUCAGCGGUAAAAGCGCGGGGCUCAACCCCGGCGAGCCGUUGAAACUGGCUGGCUGGAGUUGGAGAGAAGGACGCGGAAGGCGCGGGGUAGCGGUGAAAUGCUUAGAUAUCGCGCAGAACCCCGAUUGCGAAGGCAGCGUACCGGCUCCACACUGACGCUGAGGCACGAAAGCGUGGGUAUCGAACAGGAUGAGAUACCCCUGUAGUC
rnacentral:rRNA from 1 species